AGUGAACGCUGGCGGUAGGCCUAACACAUGCCAGUCGAACGGCAGCACAGUAAGAGCUUGCUCUUACGGGUGGCGAGUGGCGGACGGGUGAGGAAUACAUCGGAAUCUACUUUUUCGUGGGGGAUAACGUAGGGAAACUUACGCUAAUACCGCAUACGACCUACGGGUGAAAGCAGGGGAUCUUCGGACCUUGCGCGAUUGAAUGAGCCGAUGUCGGAUUAGCUAGUUGGCGGGGUAAAGGCCCACCAAGGCGACGAUCCGUAGCAGGUCUGAGAGGAUGAUCAGCCACACUGGAACUGAGACACGGUCCAGACUCCUACGGGAGGCAGCAGUGGGGAAUAUUGGACAAUGGGCGCAAGCCUGAUCCAGCCAUACCGCGUGGGUGAAGAAGGCCUUCGGGUUGUAAAGCCCUUUUGUUGGGAAAGAAAAGCAGCAGGUUAAUACCCCGCUGUUCUGACGGUACCCAAAGAAUAAGCACCGGCUAACUUCGUG
rnacentral:rRNA from 1 species